rnacentral:tRNA from 1 species
GCUGCUUUAGGUUAAUGGCAGACCAAAUCCAUGGUAAGGAUUAAGUAUCGGUUCGACUCCGGUAAGCAGCACCA